rnacentral:tRNA from 1 species
GACUCGAUAGCUCAAUGGGUAGAGCGGCGGUUUAGAUACCCGAAGAUGCGAGUUCAAAUCCCGCUCGAGCCA